AUCUUUCUAGUAUUAACUCCAGUAUACGUGACUUCCAAUCACUCGGUCUUGGUUCAAGCCCAAGGAAAGAUA
rnacentral:tRNA from 1 species